ensembl:lncRNA
UUAUAUAUAUAUAUAUAUAUAUAUAUAUAUAUAAUUCAACCAAAAACACAGGCUGUAUGUAGCUGAGGUAAAAAUAAUGUUAGAGAAGGAAAUAGAACAAGGAUAUCCUGAACAAUUUAAAAUAUUUGCAACUCUAGAUGUUUUCAUUAAGUGGCAAUUUUUUUGCUGAAAUUGUGGACAAAUGCAUGCAAGUCAAAAUACAAUAAAAGCUUUUUUUUGAGGGGCCAAAACACACAGUAAGAUGAUAAUGACUCAUCAGGUAACUGCAAAAAAUACUGAAAAUAUGUGCAGACAUAUGUACAUAUGGACAUGAUCCUGAUCUUAUCUUUAUUUAGUCAGUGCUGUUUGAAUUCUAUGAAUUUUCAAUAUUUUUGCAAAACAAAAUCCCUAAACCUUUAGCACAAAAAAGCAAAAUACAUAAGAAGACCCAAAUCAAUUAAAUAAAACACAUUUUUGGGCUUAAAGGAAUUGUGGUUCAUUCCUCCAUUAAAAAAGAUUAAGAUUAGGACUUUGACUUAAAUAUUCCAAGAAAAUAAUGUUAUUAUUAUUUAAUAACAUUAAAGAAGUUUAGUAGAAGCUUAGUAGAAUUAUGUUUACAAUAUUUUUUUAAGGUCAUUGUCUUCCUGCAUGACCCACAUUACUUUAAGAUUCAGGUCACAGACAGAUGUUCUUAUAUCUUACUUCAGAAUUUGCUGGUAUAACAUAUAAGUAAUUGUUCCAUGAGUGAAACAUGGUGCAUAUGCAACAAAACAAAUACAAACCAUGAUACUACCACCACCAUGUUUCACAGGUGAAAUAUGUUUUUUUUAUGCAGGAAUGUAGUGUUUUUUCUUUCUCCAAAUAUAACAUUACAUAAUAUCUGGUUUGUAUGUCUGUAAGCCAAAAGGAUUACAUGUGUAAUGUAAAUUGUUUAACCAUUUAGGACAGACAGCCGCUACAACAGCAAAUCCUUUGGGUAAUUCACCAGGGACUUCUAACACAACAAAUCCUUCAGGAGGAUCUGGAUUUUCUCCUACAGCAGUGGAAGCUAAAGUAGGAUCUACAUCCUCUACAACACAGAGUCCUCCAGGAACAUCUGCAUCUUCUGCAACACAUAGUCCUGCAGGAAAAGCUGCAUCAGCGUCUCCUGCAAUACAGAAUCCUCCAGGAAAAUCUGCAUCUGCAUCUCCUACAACACAGAAAACUCCAGAAGGAUCUGCACUGCCACCUGCAGUAGGAGGACGAUCUGCAUCAGGGUCUAAGGCAACACAGACGCUUCCAGAAGAAUCUGCAGGCAAAUCAGCUGCAACAGUGGAGCCUAAAGCAACACAACCUGAUGAUAAUAUCACUAACGAGACUGGAAAAAUGCAUGGAUCAGCUGGCGAAUCUUCUUCAACUCCAAAACCAGAUACUCCUGAUAAUAAGAAAUACUUUUGGAUUUUGUUGCCUGUGGGAGUUGCUUUCCUGGCUGUGGCAAUGUACUUCAGGUACAAAUUCUUCAAAGUCCACCAUCAUCCAGAGACAACAGAUAAUGGAACUGAGAAUGCUUCAUUCCAAAGGACGGAAAGUAACAGAGACGGGGUCACGCUGCUGGGAGUGAAAUCGUCAGGCACUGAGGAGGGCGCUGCUGCAUAAUAAGCAGGAUGAGGAAGUGAGAGACAAGAAGCGAAAGAAGCAGAUGAUGGAAGAUGAAGACCACCAGCCUUGCUUUUGUUUGUUUGGGAUGGGAUGAAUUGGAACAGUAUAUUUUGGGUUUAGUAUGUUUAAUUUGUAUGCAGUGAAUUGGAGCUUGGGUUAAUAUGAACUCUGUACAAAAUAAAGCUGAAUGAAGGAGCUUUGUUUUUAUCCAAUAUUUCCAGAAAAAAGACAUUAAUUCUUUUACAGUCUUCAUCAUCAUCCUAAAGCGAAUGCAUUUAUUUGCUCAUUUCUUCUUUAUAUUUUUGUCUUUCAAAAAUGCACACAAUCUAGUUCUACUUAUCAAAAAGUCAGGAUUUUAACACAACAGUAACACUCAUUUA